rnacentral:rRNA from 1 species
UACGUAGGUGGCGAGCGUUGUUCGGAAUUACUGGGCGUAAAGGGCGCGUAGGCGGCCCGCUAAGUCGAACGUGAAAUCCCCGGGCUCAACCCGGGAACUGCGUCCGAUACUGGCAGGCUUGAAUCCGGGAGAGGGAUGCGGAAUUCCUGGUGUAGCGGUGAAAUGCGCAGAUAUCAGGAAGAACACCCGUGGCGAAGGCGGCUCUCUGGGACGGUACUGACGCUGAGACGCGAAAGCGUGGGGAGCGAACAGG